UGGGGAAUAUUGGACAAUGGGCGGAAGCCUGAUCCGGCAAUGCCGCGUGUGUGAAGAAGGCCUGCGGGUUGUAAAGCACUUUCAGGGGGGAGAAGGAAAUUAGUUUUAAUAGAGCUAAUGGAAGAUGUUACCCCCAGAAGAAGCACCGGCUAACUCUGUGCCAGCAGCCGCGGUAAUACAGAGGGUGCGAGCGUUAAUCGGAAUUACUGGGCGUAAAGGGUGCGUAGGUGGUUAUAUAAGUUAGAUGUGAAAGUCCUGGGCUUAACCUGGGGAUUGCGCCUGAUACUGUGUAGCUAGAGUCCUGUAGAGGAAAGUGGAAUUUCCGGUGUAGCGGUGAAAUGCGUAGAUAUCGGAAGGAACAUCAGUGGCGAAGGCGACUUUCUGGAUAGAGACUGACACUGAGGCACGAAAGCAUGGGGAGCAAACAGG
rnacentral:rRNA from 1 species